AACAUAAGUGUCUGGUCAGAUCCAUCGAUUCCUAGAGGGAGCACACUCAAAAUCAAGGUAUGUGAAUCCUUUGGCCAGAAGAUGGGAUGUGGAGCUUUUCUGACAACACUUUGGCCUGAAGAUGCUGAUACUAUUCUCAAGAUUCAUGUCCAAGAAGACACGGAGGAAAAGAAGUCUUUCUUUUACUGUAAAAAGCUAUGACGCACUCUCUCUUUCCCAAUAAGGUGUUCAGCCUACCCCUUAGAAUGAAGCUCUCUAGGAAAGAAAGGAAAAAGUGCUCCCAGUGGAAAAUGCACAAAAGUGGAAACCACCACAUUCAGCUAUUUUGAAGAUAAACAUCGAUGGCGCUUUCAGUAAGUCAUCAUUAUCUGGAGUUGGGGCUUCACCAUCAAGAAUGACCAGGGUGUGCAUUACUGGCAGUAGGUGCAUGCAAAAUCUGGAACAUGUCGCUAACCCACCAUAUGCACAAGCUCUAUCUUUACAACAAUUGCCUAUCAUUGUCACUCCAAUGGGGCGCCAAACUGUAAUGUUUGAGACAGACUCCAUGAUUCUGAAGCAAGCUAUUUCAAGCGACGAGUAUGAUUUCUCUAAAUUAGAUACACUCUUUCAAAGAUAAGUUUCCAAAUGAGAGUUGGUAUAAAUGUUUUGCAGACUUUAUUUGCCUGUGCUGGCUUAUGGGGAGUGGUCGUCUACAGACUUGGCUUGGCCAAUUCCCUGAAUUUGUAUCAGACGAUGUUCCUGGCUACAUGCCCAGCAUGAUGUAGUUAUGGAAUAGACCAAUGCUCCUUCUAAAACAAAUUGUAUUAGUGAUUGCUGAGCCCUGUCAUUUUACCUUUCUUGUUUGUUUCUGUUGCACAGGAAUUUGCAUUUUCAUCUGUCUUAAGCGAGCGUAAGUUGUGCCUGCCUUAUCUUUCUCCAGCAUUUGUUUUUCUCAGAUAUUGCUCCAGUAAUAAAAAAAGAAGUAGGUGUGUUUUUGUUCACAAAUAUUAAAUAUGGUAUUAACUUAUGCUUGUGUUCCUAAAAUGCAUAGCUCCCUAAGAUAAUUCUUUUGUU